UACGUAGGGUGCGAGCGUUAAUCGGAAUUACUGGGCGUAAAGCGUGCGCAGGCGGUUCGUUAUGUCCGAUGUGAAAGCCCCGAGCUCAACUUGGGAAUGGCAUUGGAAACUGGCGGGCUGGAGUGUGGCAGAGGGGGGAUGGAAUUCCGCGUGUAGCAGUGAAAUGCGUAGAUAUGCGGAGGAACACCGAUGGCGAAGGCACCUCCGCGCACAC
rnacentral:rRNA from 1 species